AAACCCGAUCCCAUCUCGAACUCGGCCGUUAACCGCCCCAGCGCCUAUGGUACUGUGUCUCAAGACACGGGAGAGUCGGUCACCGCCAGAC
rfam:Methylobacterium tarhaniae strain DSM 25844 contig_259, whole genome shotgun sequence.